UGUCUAUUUGCAAAAACUGGUCCUAUUGUGCGAAUAUCGCCCUCACUAUUGCCCUCUUUUGAUUGUGUGUCUCGCGCAUCUCGCGCAAUCGGCGUUGCGCAACCAUGAUUUGUGAAAAAGCCAUAGGAAAAGAGGAUUAAUAUUAUGAAUGAUGGGAAUCAACUUUGCGUUCAGUUACUA
ensembl:ncRNA T25F10.11 ncRNA